AUGAACGCUGGCGGCGUGCCUCAUACCUGCAAGUCGCGCGAACAGACGAGGAGCUUGCUCCUCUGACGUUAGCGGCGGCCGGGUGAGUAACACGUGGAUAACCUACCUAUAAGACUGGGAUAACUUCGGGAAACCGGAGCUAAUACCGGAUAAUAUAUUGAACCGCAUGGUUCAAUAGUGAAAGACGGUUUUGCUGUCACUUAUAGAUGGAUCCGCGCCGCAUUAGCUAGUUGGUAAGGUAACGGCUUACCAAGGCAACGAUGCGUAGCCGACCUGAGAGGGUGAUCGGCCACACUGGAACUGAGACACGGUCCAGACUCCUACGGGAGGCAGCAGUAGGGAAUCUUCCGCAAUGGGCGAAAGCUUGACGGAGCAACGCCGCGUGAGUGAUGAAGGUCUUCGGAUCGUAAAACUCUGUUAUUAGGGAAGAACAAAUGUGUAAGUAACUAUGCACGUCUUGACGGUACCUAAUCAGAAAGCCACGGCUAACUACGUG
rnacentral:rRNA from 1 species